GAUGAACGCUGGCGGCGUGCUUAACACAUGCAAGUCGAACGAAGCAAUACUGACAGAAGCCUUCGGGUGAAAGAUGGUAUUGACUGAGUGGCGGACGGGUGAGUAACGCGUGGGUAACCUGCCUCAUACAGGGGGAUAACAGUUGGAAACGACUGCUAAUACCGCAUAAGCGCACAGUGUCACAUGACACAGUGUGAAAAACUCCGGUGGUAUGAGAUGGACCCGCGUCUGAUUAGCUAGUUGGUAAGGUAACGGCUUACCAAGGCGACGAUCAGUAGCCGACCUGAGAGGGUGACCGGCCACAUUGGGACUGAGACACGGCCCAAACUCCUACGGGAGGCAGCAGUGGGGAAUAUUGCACAAUGGGGGAAACCCUGAUGCAGCGACGCCGCGUGAGUGAAGAAGUAUUUCGGUAUGUAAAGCUCUAUCAGCAGGGAAGAAAAUGACUGUACCUGACUAAGAAGCCCCGGCUAACUACGUGCCAGCAGCCGCCGUAAUAC
rnacentral:rRNA from 1 species